rnacentral:rRNA from 1 species
UACGUAGGGAGCAAGCGUUGUCCGGAAUCAUUGGGCGUAAAGCGCGUGUAGGCGGCUUGGUAAGUCUGCUCUGAAAGCCCGGGGCUCAACCCCGGGAGGCGGGUGGAUACUGUCGAGCUCGAGUCCGGAAGAGGCGAGUGGAAUUCCUGGUGUAGCGGUGAAAUGCGCAGAUAUCAGGAGGAACACCGAUGGCGAAGGCAGCUCGCUGGGACGUGACUGACGCUGAGACGCGAAAGCGUGGGGAGCAAACAGG